rnacentral:rRNA from 1 species
ACGAACGCUGGCGGCGUGCUUAACACAUGCAAGUCGAACGGUGAAGCGCCUUCCUUUUUGGUGGGUGUGGAUGAGUGGCGAACGGGUGAGUAACACGUGAGUAACCUGCCCCCUUCUUCUGGAUAACCGCAUGAAAGUGUGGCUAAUACGGGAUAUUCUGGGUCUGUCGCAUUAUGGGUCUGGGAAAGAUAUUGUUUCGGUGGGGGAUGGGCUCGCGGCCUAUCAGCUUGUUGGUGGGGUGAUGGCCUACCAAGGCGGUGACGGGUAGCCGGCCUGGGAGGGUGGACGGUCACACUGGGACUGAGACACGGCCCAGACUCCUACGGGAGGCAGCAGUGGGGAAUAUUGCACAAUGGGCGCAAGCCUGAUGCAGCGACGCCGCGUGAGGGAUGGAGGCCUUCGGGUUGUGAACCUCUUUCGCCAGUGAAGCAGGCCUGCCUCGUUUGUGGGUGGGUUGACGGUAGCUGGAUAAGAAGCGCCGGCUAACUACGUG